AGGGAAAUUAAACAGGCUGACACGUUUCCUAUUGGAUCAAACGCAGGAGAUUAGGAGCUGGAUCCAUUGAGUCUCUGUGCAGCAACACUGUCUCGUAAUGAAAUAAAUCCACCUUUACUCGCCUCGAUUAAGAAGAUCAGAAGCAGCCACGAUGCUGGUAGAUUUAAAGGUUAAUACAUCUCGUUUUAAAAUCACACGGAAAUAAAACGUACAAUUUCUAUUUUGUUUGUGGCGUGAGGUGGGAAUUGCUAAGAAGAGACCAGACAAAAAUUGCUUUGAUUGAUUCGUGCUUUUAAACCGUUAUCUUCAGCAGUGCUUGAAAAUUCCAGAUGCAGUGCUUUUGGGUAAGAGGCCAGUAUUCCAGAACCUGAGACCAGUAUGCUGAGGAUACCUCUUUGAAUCACACCAUGACAGAUCUUGGAAACUGAAUUCAACAAAAGUCUGAAAUUAAAAGUCUAAUGAUGACCAUGAAA